GCAAGGUGACAAGCUAUGUUAGCAACCUCGAUGCUCACCUUACAGAGGAGGAAGCUGAGGCUCAGAGAAGUGAAGCGACUCACUCCAGGUCAUAACCAGCAAAUGCGUGACCCAGGACUCAAACCCAGGUCUGUCUGAUCCCCAAGACCUGGCUCCCCACCACCCAAGACUAUCUCUUCUGGGGAUUCCAGAACACUAUGUCUUCUUUCCCACAAAUCUCUGCUGGGCUGGCCUGGGAGAGGCAACUCUCAGGAAGACCCCAGACCCCAUUUUCCUCAUCUGCAGAACAGCGCUUCUUCAGAUGGCUGUGUUGUACAGUGAGCGUCUAUGUGACCAGCUGGUCCUCUGUUCGAAGCCCAGCGGGGACAGCCCCAACCCCUUGAGAGUUACCUUCUUGCGCUCCAGAGCACAAAGUCCCAGGCUGGGCCCCACCACAGGCUAGCACAUCGGGGGUACACUGUGAGUACUUAUGAGUGCAUAAAUAAUAAAACCAAAACAAUAUCUGACUCUUGCUAUAACCUCUUUAUGGACCAGGCACUGUUCUAAGAGCCUUAUAUACAAGAGUUUAUUAAAUCCUCUCAAAAGCCCUAGAACGCCCAUUUUACAGGUGAGGAAACUGGGGCUCAGAGAGGUUAAGUAACCUGCCCACCGUCACAGAGCUUGGAAGUGAUUACAGGGACUGUGUCUUUAUCCACUUGCUGCUGUCUCUCUCUGAACCCAGCCGAACCCUGAGUGGCCAUCCUCACGAAGCCCCACCUGGGUGGGCCCCAAGGGCACAGUUGCCACCCCUGGGCCCUCACCUGUCUGGUUGAUGCUGACGCUGGCAGUGAGGAAGCUGCGGCUGGUCACCAGGUCCGAGACGCCGUUGCGGGCCUCUACGGUGAAGGUGUAGUUCAUAUGGGGCUCCAGGUCGCUGACUGUCACGCUGGUGCGGGUCAGCCCGUGCGGUGGCUCCGAGUAGCGCACGCUGGCCUCGCAGGGACCGCACUCGCCUGACUCGGGCCAGCACUGCUCGCAGGUGACAGUGUAGGUGAUGUCCUCGCGGCCCCCGUUGUCCUGGGGGGGCGUCCAGCGCAGCUCCACUUUGGCGCCCAUGCCCACAGCCGUGAGGUAGUGCGGGGCGGAGGGCGGGCCUGUGCAGAGGGCAGAGGUCAGAGCUCGGAUCCAGGUAGGUCUGGACAUGUCAGCAUCACCACGCCCAGCUCUGUCACCCCUCCCUGACCCGCUGUGAGACUCACGCGUGCAGAGCAGUGAAAGUGGGUCCUGCGGGGCCCGGAAAUAGCCUUCCUCACACUCGCAGGCGGUGGCCCCCUCGGAGGACGGCAGGGUGUGUGGGGGGCACUCCAGACAGGGGCUCUCGGAUGCCUCGGACUUGAAGAAUCCCGGCGAGCAGGCUGGCAGGCACAGGGACAGACAUCAGCUCAGCCUGUUCUCACCCCGAGCGACUUUUCCCUCCCUGGCCCUGGGACCCCUGGCAAGUCACUAAACCUCUAUGGGCCUGUUUUGUCAUUGGUAAAAUGUCUUGUGAUGAGAAAAUGCGUGGAAAGCACCUAGCUUGGGCCAGACACCCAGGAAGUGCCUUGCCCUCCUGCUCCAAAGCUUUGCAGCCCCCUCCCCAGUGGCUCUUGCAAGAAGCACCAUGCCCCUGAGCCUGGCAUUCAAGGCCCACAUCUCACCUUCCAGCUUCCUAAGAAUCCUAUCUCACAGCUGGCUCAGCCUUGGACAGAGGCUGGAGAUAUCCUUUAAUCCGUGCGGACCAGCCUGGCAGGUCCCCACCUGGACUGAGAGCUGCCCAGGGCAGUGACUGCUUCUUCUUCGCCAUUUGUGUUUGCUGACUCACAGAUCAGACGGGGGCAUCAGGAUGCUACCUCUGCAGCUUACUCUGGAGAGGGUCCUGAGAUACCUCCAGCCUCAGUGUCACGUUCAUCAAACACUGAUCCUCAACUCUGCGUGCAGCCCAGUGCAUGGACCUCGAGAUGAGACAAAGCCCCUGACCUCUGGGAGCUAGAGCACGUGACAAUGUCCACCAUACAGGGGUGGGCAGCAAGGACCUACUGCACAGCACAGGGAACUCUGCUCGAUGUUAUGUGGCAGCCUGGAUGGGAGGGGAGUCUGGGGGAGAAUGGAUACACGUAUACGUAUGGCUGAGUCGCUUUGCUGUGCACCUGAAACUAUCACAACAUUGUUAACAGGCUAUAC